rnacentral:lncRNA from 1 species
GAAAAAGCCGCCCGUAUGAUUCAAUUACCUUCCACCAGGUGAUAUGGAUGGUGACAUUGCAAUGAUCUUUCCUCUUGCUUACUUCAAUGAACUUGAAAAUAUGGUUGCAUUUUAAAAGGCCUAAUGGGAAGUCUGAGGAGCCUUGUCUGAAAAACCUAAAAGACCAUGGGGAGAAGUUUCCAUCUAUUGACAUUUGAGUCUCCCCUUGCACAGUCAGCACUGCAUAAAGUCAUCAAGUUUGGUAGGUCAGAAGUCCCAGUGUGCUCAGCUGGCCCUCUCCUUCAGGUUCAAGACUAAACCAAACUAUUGGCUGUGCUUCAUACCUUUCUGGAGGCCCUGAGGAGGAAUGUGCU